rnacentral:rRNA from 1 species
UACGUAGGGUGCGAGCGUUAAUCGGAAUUACUGGGCGUAAAGCGUGCGCAGGCGGUUCGUUGUGUCUGAUGUGAAAGCCCCGGGCUCAACCUGGGAAUGGCAUUGGAAACUGGCGAGCUAGAGUGUGGCAGAGGGGGGUGGAAUUCCGCGUGUAGCAGUGAAAUGCGUAGAGAUGCGGAGGAACACCGAUGGCGAAGGCAAUCCCCUGGACCUGUACUGACGCUCAUGCACGAAAGCGUGGGGAGCAAACAGG